UACGCACGGCCAUAACGAACUGCUGAAAGAUAUUCCGAACUACUGUGCAUCGCAUGGUAAGGGAAACAUCGCCAAGCAGACAGUGGACGUGUGCAACAGAUACUCCGGUCCGAUAAAGUACAUAUUCCCCCCUAAUGAGGUGUACGCACUCGGUGACGCCGUGCUGUCACCCGUAUACGCUUCAUGUGGAAACGACCCUGGGUGUGGGCCUCUCUCGUGGAAUAUCACCCAGGUCUGCAGAUUUUAAGACCUAACGGUAAAGAGUAAGAGCGCAGCUUUAGUUUAGGCUGGUUGAAUGUAUGAAAUAAAUGUUUUUUCUAC